GGCCUAACACAUGCAAGUCGAACGAGACCUUCGGGUCUAGUGGCGCACGGGUGCGUAACGCGUGGGAAUCUGCCCUUGGGUUCGGGAUAACAGUUGGAAACGACUGCUAAUACCGGAUGAUGACUUCGGUCCAAAGAUUUAUCGCCCAGGGAUGAGCCCGCGUAGGAUUAGCUAGUUGGUGAGGUAAAGGCUCACCAAGGCGACGAUCCUUAGCUGGUCUGAGAGGAUGAUCAGCCACACUGGGACUGAGACACGGCCCAGACUCCUACGGGAGGCAGCAGUGGGGAAUAUUGGACAAUGGGCGAAAGCCUGAUCCAGCAAUGCCGCGUGAGUGAUGAAGGCCUUAGGGUUGUAAAGCUCUUUUACCCGGGAUGAUAAUGACAGUACCGGGAGAAUAAGCCCCGGCUAACUCCGUGCCAGCAGCCGCGGUAAUACGGAGGGGGCUAGCGU
rnacentral:rRNA from 1 species